UACAGAGGGGGCAAGCGUUAUUCGGAAUUAUUGGGCGUAAAGGGCGCGUAGGCGGCUUGGCAAGUGGAAGGUGAAAUCCCUCGGCUUAACCGAGGAACUGCCUUCCAGACUGCUUUGCUUGAGGCCGGGAGAGGCGAGUGGAAUUCCCAGUGUAGCGGUGAAAUGCGUAGAUAUUGGGAGGAACACCAGUGGCGAAGGCGGCUCGCUGGACCGGUUCUGACGCUGAGGCGCGAAAGCGCGGGGAGCAAACGGG
rnacentral:rRNA from 1 species